UUGUUUUUUUAUUUUUUUAAAGCCCAGUUUCAUAUAUGUUAGCAAUUUUUUUUUUCUUUUGAACAAAGUAUAUGUUAGCAAAUAUGUUAACGUAAAACUGAAAAAAAAUAAUCAAAAAUAUUAAUUAAGCUAAGAAAUAUAUCUUAGGACACAAACAAAAAAUGCGUGUGAAUUUUUGUUUUCUUUCUUUUCUUUCUCUCGAUCUAUCUCUCUCCGAGGAGGACAUCACCGUCCUCAUCGACACCGAUGAAUCCUCUACACAGCCCACUGGCAAGAACAUCCGCCGUGCGCUUAAGGAUCUCAUCGGAAUCGGAUCUGCUGAUAUUGGCAACGUUCUUGUCGUUCAUUACAUCGGACACGGGACGAGGCUGCCCGCUGAGACUGGUGAAGACAAUGAUACUGGCUAAGACGAUGAUACUGGCUACAACGAGUGUAUUGUUCCUUGCACGUGAAUUUAGAGGAAAAUCAAGAAGCAACCCAGCACUAAUUGAUGGUCAAUGAUUCAAUCUCACUUUCGAUUCUCCAAUCUCUUUCUAUUGAUGGUCUCCGACAAUGAAUCCCCAGAAAAAUUCUUAUUUAGAUGAUAUUGUACUUGUGGACAAAAUUUGCCUCAAGGAUUACAAGUUUGUGCGUGGUGAUGUUGUAGUGUUCAGAUGAUGGAUAUGAUGAUGUGGUAUGGCCUCCCCAAAGAGUUAGCAAGAUUGGUCGAUAAAGCUAAUUGGAAGAAGAAGGAGAAUGACAAGGUAUGUUUCUUCCUUUUCCAAAAGAAAACUUCCUUCUUCAUGUUACAUCUAUAUUUUAAUCUCAAAUCAGAAUUAGUCAUCACGUCUCAAUGAUAACAAACCGUGAAUACAUUCUUGUAUUGGAACAAUGGUUUUACCUCAUAUAGUACUUUUUAGCCUCAUUGUGGCUCCGGUUUGCUUGCUGGCUUCGAUUUUAUGUUUAUUUCAGGUGUGGCAAAUGGCUUCUCUUUACCAUUUGGUUCACACUGCAACUCUUCUUUCUGCACCUAGCACCAAAUAUCCCAACAUUGAAUAAAACCCUUCUCCAGGUAGCUCCUCUCCGCCGCUGUUGUUGUGCAACCUCAAACGUCCCCUCCCCCCCUCUUUAUUCUGUUGUGUGACCUCAAGCAUCCCUCACCCUCUUCAUUCUUUCUUCCCUCCCUUAUCCUCCACACCCUUUCAUUGUCUCCAUCGUAACGUCUUCCUCUUAAACGAUAAUUCAAGUCUUUCAAUGCUGUCUCAUUCAAUUGAAGUCCCACUACUUUUUCUUCAAUUGGUGCAAGUUGAAGUCCUAUAUAAUGUCCUCUCUUCCAAUUUCAUGCCUCUUACAAUUCCCUUUCUCUCUUAAUUUUAUCUUUACUUACAUGGAUUCCACCACCACCACCACCAUCGGAGACAUUACAUUUAACCGGAAUAGGAGAAAAUCGGCAAGUAUCGCCGCCGUCGAGACCAUACACAUGGCUCUUUUGUUGUGAUUUUAAUGUCGAUAUUAUUCCUUGAAUGAAACAGUUUGUGUGUGUGUACACACUAUUUCGUUCUUAACGAAAUGGUUUGAGAUAUUUUUUUUUGUUUGCUUAAUAGUUUGCAAAGCUUUUUUUUUGUAUUAGGAUUAAGAAUCCAAAACAAACAAUUUUGGUUAGAGUAAAAGGAACCAGAAGGUCAUUUUUAA